CCUACGGGAGGCAGCAGUAAGGAAUAUUGGACAAUGCUCGCAAGAGUGAUCCAGCCAUGCCGCGUGCAGGAAGAAUGCCCUAUGGGUAGUAAACUGCUUUUGAACUAGAGAAAACCCCAGUACGUGUACUGGGCUGAUAGUAUAGUUAGAAUAAGCAUCGGCUAACUUCGUGCCAGCAGCCGCGGUAAGACGAAGGAUGCAAGCGUUAUCCGGAUUCAUUGGGUUUAAAGGGAGCGUAGGUGGACUGAUAAGUCAGUGGUGAAAUCUCCGAGCUUAACUCGGAAAUUGCCAUUGAUACUGUUGGUCUUGAGUACAGUUGCUGUGGGCGGAAUAUGACAUGUAGUGGUGAAAUACAUAGAGAUGUCAUAGAACACCGAUUGCGAAGGCAGCUCACAAAGCUGUAACUGACACUGAGGCUCGAAAGUGCGGGGAUCAAACAGGAUUAGAUACCCUGGUAGUCCGCACCGUAAACGAUGAUUACUCGCUGCUAGGGGGCAACCUUUAGUGGCUUAGCGAAAGCGAUAAGUAAUCCACCUGGGGAGUACGCCGGCAACGGUGAAACUUAAAUAGAAUUAGACGG
rnacentral:rRNA from 1 species